rnacentral:rRNA from 1 species
AGAGUUUGAUCCUGGCUCAGGAUGAACGCUGGCGGCGUGCCUAACACAUGCAAGUCGAGCGAUUCUCUUCGGAGAAGAGCGGCGGACGGGUGAGUAACGCGUGGGUAACCUGCCCUGUACACACGGAUAACAUACCGAAAGGUAUGCUAAUACGGGAUAACAUAAGAAAUUCGCAUGUUUUUCUUAUCAAAGCUCCGGCGGUACAGGAUGGACCCGCGUCUGAUUAGCUAGUUGGUGAGGUAACGGCUCACCAAGGCGACGAUCAGUAGCCGACCUGAGAGGGUGAUCGGCCACAUUGGAACUGAGACACGGUCCAAACUCCUACGGGAGGCAGCAGUGGGGAAUAUUGCACAAUGGGCGAAAGCCUGAUGCAGCAACGCCGCGUGAGCGAUGAAGGCCUUCGGGUCGUAAAGCUCUGUCCUCAAGGAAGAUAAUGACGGUACUUGAGGAGGAAGCCACGGCUAACUACGUGCCAGCAGCCGCGGUAAUACGUAGGUGGCGAGCGUUGUCCGGAAUUAUUGGGCGUAAAGGGAGCGCAGGCGGGAAGGUAAGUCUAUCUUAAAAGUGCGGGGCUCAACCCCGUGAGGGGAUGGAAACUAUCUUUCUUGAGUGCAGGAGAGGAAAGCGGAAUUCCUAGUGUAGCGGUGAAAUGCGUAGAUAUUAGGAGGAACACCAGUGGCGAAGGCGGCUUUCUGGACUGUAACUGACGCUGAGGCUCGAAAGCGUGGGGAGCGAACAGGAUUAGAUACCCUGGUAGUCCACGCCGUAAACUAUGAAUGCUAGGUGUAGGAGGUAUCGACCCCUUCUGUGCCGGAGUUAACGCAAUAAGCAUUCCGCCUGGGGAGUACGGCCGCAAGGCUGAAACUCAAAGGAAUUGACGGGGGCCCGCACAAGCGGUGGAGUAUGUGGUUUAAUUCGACGCAACGCGAAGAACCUUACCAGGGCUUGACAUUGAGUGAAAGGACAAGAGAUUGUCCCCUCUCUUCGGAGACACGAAAACAGGUGGUGCAUGGCUGUCGUCAGCUCGUGUCGUGAGAUGUUGGAUUAAGUCCCGCAACGAGCGCAACCCCUAUUCUUUGUUGCCAGCACGUUAUGGUGGGAACUCAAAGGAGACUGCCGCGGACAACGCGGAGAAAGGCGGGGAUGACGUCAAGUCAUCAUGCCCCUUAUGUCCUGGGCUACACACGUACUACAAUGGGAUGGACAGAGAGCAGCGAAGCCGCGAGGCCAAGCGAACCCCAUAAACCAUCUCCCAGUUCGGAUUGCAGGCUGCAACCCGCCUGCAUGAAGUUGGAAUCGCUAGUAAUCGCAGGUCAGCAUACUGCGGUGAAUACGUUCCCGGGCCUUGUACACACCGCCCGUCACACCACGGAAGUCAUUCACACCCGAAGCCGGCAGGCUAACCUUUUGGAGGCAGCCGUCUAAGGUGGGGGCGAUGACUGGGGUGAAGUCGUAACAAGGUA